rnacentral:rRNA from 1 species
UACGUAGGGGGCUAGCGUUGUCCGGAAUCACUGGGCGUAAAGCGCACGUAGGCGGACUCUUAAGUCGGUGGUGAAAUCCUGGAGCUCAACUCCAGAACUGCCUUCGAUACUGGGGAGUCUCGAGUCCGGGAGAGGUGAGUGGAACUGCGAGUGUAGAGGUGAAAAUUCGUAGAUAUUCGCAAGAACACCAGUGGCGAAGGCGGCUCACUGGCUCGAUACUGACGCUGAGGUGCGAAAAGCGUGGGGGAGCAAACAGG